GAUGAACGCUAGCUACAGGCUUAACACAUGCAAGUCGCGGGGCAGCAUGGGGGCUGCUUGCAAUCCCCGAUGGCGACCGGCGCACGGGUGAGUAACGCGUAUCCAACCUGCCCUUCACCACGGGAUAACCCGGCGAAAGUCGGACUAAUACCGUAUGUUGUCCAUUGACGGCCUCCGAUUUGGACGAAAGGGUUGGGGGUGUGGGCUGGGGAUGCGUCCGAUUAGCCAGACGGCGGGGUAACGGCCCACCGAGGCUGCGAUCGGUAGGGGUUCUGAGAGGAAGGUCCCCCGCACUGGAACUGAGACACGGUCCAGACUCCUACGGGAGGCAGCAGUGAGGAAUAUUGGUCAAUGGGCGUAAGCCUGAACCAGCCAAGUAGCGUGCAGGAUGACGGCCCUAUGGGUUGUAAACUGCUUUUAUGCGGGGAUAAAGUGGCCCACGUGUGGGCUUUUGCAGGUACCGCAUGAAUAAGGACCGGCUAAUUCCGUG
rnacentral:rRNA from 1 species